rnacentral:rRNA from 1 species
GGUGAACGCUGGCGGCGUGCCUAAGACAUGCAAGUCGAACGGGCCUGAUUUCGGUCAGGCUAGUGGCGGACGGGUGAGUAACACGUGGGUGAUCUACCCCAAAGUCUGGGACAACUAGGGGAAACCUUAGCUAAUCCCGGAUGGUGAGGCUUCUCCUGUGAAGUCUCUAAAGAUUUAUCGCUUUGGGAUGAGCCCGCGGCGCAUCAGCUAGUUGGUGGGGUAAUGGCCUACCAAGGCGACGACGGGUAGCUGGCGUGAGAGCGUGGCCAGCCACACU